GAGUUUGAUCGUGGCUCAGAUUGAACGCUGGCGGAAUGCUUUACACAUGCAAGUCGAGCGGCAGCGCGGGGCAACCUGGCGGCGAGCGGCGAACGGGUGAGUAAUGCAUCGGAACGUGUCCAUGUCGUGGGGGAUAGCCCGGCGAAAGCCGGAUUAAUACCGCAUACGCCCGAGAGGGGAAAGUGGGGACCGCAAGGCCUCACGCGAUUGGGUCGGCCGAUGUCCGAUUAGCUAGUUGGCGGGGUAAAGGCCCACCAAGGCGAUGAUCGGUAGCUGGUCUGAGAGGAUGAUCAGCCACACUGGGACUGAGACACGGCCCAGACUCCUACGGGAGGCAGCAGUGGGGAAUAUUGGACAAUGGGCGAAAGCCUGAUCCAGCAAUGCCGCGUGAGUGAUGAAGGCCCUCGGGUCGUAAAGCUCUUUUACCAGGGAUGAUAAUGACAGUACCUGGAGAAUAAGCUCCGGCUAACUCCGUGCCAGCCGCCGCCGUAAG
rnacentral:rRNA from 1 species